rnacentral:rRNA from 1 species
CCUACGAGAGGCAGCAGUCGGGAAUAUUGGGCAAUGGAGGAAACUCUGACCCAGCAAUACCGCGUGAAGGAUGAAGGUUUUCGGAUUGUAAACUUCUGUUAUAAAGGAAGAAAAAUAUGACGGUACUUUAUAAGUAAGCCCCGGAAAACUAUGGGACAGCAGCCGCGGUGCUAAAGUGGGGGCAAGCGUUGUCCGGAAUGACUGGGUGUAAAGGGUGUGUAGGUGGCUUAUUAAGUGAGAGGUAAAAGCCAGAAGCUCAACUUCGGAACUGCCUUUAACACUGGUUGGCUUGAGUGUGGGAGAGGUUAGUGGAACUCCUAGUGUAGCGGUGGAAUGCGUAGAUAUUAGGAAGAACAUCAGAGGCGAAGGCGACUAACUGGAACAUUACUGACACUGAAACACGAAAGCGUGGGGAGCAAACAGGAUUAGAUACCCUGGUAGUC